rnacentral:rRNA from 1 species
GACGCUGGCGGCGUGCCUAAUACAUGCAAGUCGAACGGCUUUUUCAUGGAAGCUUGCUUCCACUGAGAAGAUAGUGGCGAACGGGUGAGUAACACGUGGGUAACCUGCCCAUAAGAGGGGGAUAACAUCCGGAAACGGGUGCUAAUACCGCAUAGUUUUCUUGAUCGCAUGAUUGAGAAAGGAAAGACGGCCUUUGUGCUGUCGCUUAUGGAUGGACCCGCGGCGUAUUAGUUAGUUGGUGAGGUAACGGCUCACCAAGACGAUGAUACGUAGCCGACCUGAGAGGGUGAUCGGCCACAUUGGGACUGAGACACGGCCCAAACUCCUACGGGAGGCAGCAGUAGGGAAUCUUCCGCAAUGGACGAAAGUCUGACGGAGCAACGCCGCGUGAGUGAAGAAAAGGUUUUCGGAUCGUAAAACUCUGUUGUCAGAGAAGAACAAGUUGGAGAGUAACUGCUCCAGCCUUGACGGUAUCUGACCAGAAAGCCACGGCUAACUACGUGCCAGCCGCAGC